AUUGAACGCUGGCGGCAGGCCUAAUACAUGCAAGUCGAGCGAGCGGCGGACGGGUGAGUAAUGUCUGGGAAACUGCCUGAUGGAGGGGGAUAACUACUGGAAACGGUAGCUAAUACCGCAUACCAUCAGAUGUGCCCAGAUGGGAUUAGCUAGUGGGUGGGGUAAUGGCUCACCUAGGCGACGAUCCCUAGCUGGUCUGAGAGGUUGACCAGCCACACUGGAACUGAGAAACGGUCCAGACUCCUACGGGAGGCAGCAGUGGGGAAUAUUGCGCAAUGGGCGCAAGCCUGAUGCAGCCAUGCCGCGUGUGUGAAGAAGGCCUUCGGGUUGUAAAGCACUUUCGGCGGGGAGGCGUUACCCACAGAGGAAGCACCGGCUAACUCCGUGCCAGCAGCCGCGGUAAUUC
rnacentral:rRNA from 1 species